rnacentral:lncRNA from 1 species
UUAGGUUUUCCCUAAGCCCAAAUAUGGAUAUAAAAAUAGCAUUAGGGCUUUGGUAUUGAGAGAAAAGGGCAUUUGAUUGAGAAAAGGAAAGAAGAUCAGGAUUUGUUUUUAUGGGCACUGUUCCAGGGCUCAAGGGUGAAGUUACAAGUUCCUUUCAUCAACCUUUUUGGGGAAUUCCUAUGGUACGUUUUCUCCCUAAUUUCUUUCUGUUCAUGUUUCAUUGGGUGAUGGAUUCCUACCUAAAGUGAGGACUUAAGUAUUGUAUCCCUAUUUAUUGAAGUAGAAGAAAUUUUCUCUAUGGUUUUUUACCUCUAUUCAAAGGGUUUUUCCACAUUAUAUUUGGUAUCCUCUUUUGUGGUUGAAUGUUAUUGAUUGUCAUUCUUGAUUCUUGUUAAGUUGUUAUUAUUCUUGAGAGGUGGUUAUUAUUGUUGAGUGGUUGUUAUUCUUGUGGAGGAAUCUUUUAACUUUGGCAGGUUAAUACUCUAGAUCUCUCCCUUUAUCUUCCCAACAAGUGGUAUCAGAGCUUGGUUGUGGAACUUUUAUUCUUGAAAGGAAUGGAGAUAAAAAGGGAACUCAACCUCCAUGAUAAAACUUAACAAUUUAAAUUAGGCUAUGUGGAAGUCCAUGAUGGAAGAUUUUCACACCAUCAAAGAUUUGUCAAAUACUUUUGAAGAUAAAGAAGUUAGUCCCAAAGAUAUUUUUGAUUUGGAAUGGAAUAAGAUGAACAAAAAGGCAAUUGCCUAUAUUAGGCAAUAGAUUGACACAUCCUCACAUCACCAUGUGGCAAAUGAAACAAAUGCCCAUAAUCUCUAGAAGAAAUUGGAAUCCAUGUUUGCACAAAAAACUGUUGGGAAUAAAAUUUUCUUGUUAAAAAAGUUGGUGAAUAUGAAGCUAAAGGAAGGAACACAAAUGACAGAUCACUUGAAUGUUUUUCAAAGCAUUGUUAAUCAUUUGGUUGUGUUCAUUACCAAAUAGUUAGAAAACUUUUGUUGUGACUAUUAGCAACUCUACUCCGAAUGGUGCAUUGUCUAUAGAACUUAUGAAGGGAAAUUUGUUCAAUGAAAAGACAAGAAGGAAGGCUUAUGACACAGAAAAUGCACGAGCCCUCAUCAUAGAAAGUAAAGAAAGAAACAAGGAUAAAGGAUAGAAAGGUUAUGACAAGUUUGAGGGAAGGUCCCAAUCCAAAGGUAAAAUCAAAUGUUUCCAUUGUGGAAAAGAUAGGCAUAUGAAAAGGAAUUUUCGAAUUUGGAAAAGGGAAUAGAAUAGGUAGAAUCAGGAAAAAGAAUAUGAAAAGAAUACCACAACCUCAGUAUCUAACAAUGAUGAAGUUUUAGUGCUCUCAAAUGAGUGUUUGCAUAUAGAUAAGCAAGAAAUUGAGUGGACUAUAGACAUUGUAGCCUCCUACAUGCUACUCCUCACAUGGAGUCGUUUUUUUAUUAUAGAGUUAAAGACUAUGGCAUAGUCAAGAUGGGAAACUCUAGUCACUCCAAGAUUGUAGGGAUGGGUGAUGUUUGCUUUGAAACCAAUAUGCGGUACAAGUUGACAUUGAAAGAUGUAAGGCAUGUUUCAAAUUUACGCCUUAAUCUAAUGUUAGGUUUUGUCUUGGACAAGCAAGGUUAUGAAAAGCACUUUAGCAAAGGCAAAUGGAAGCUUACUAAGGGCUCAUUGGUUGUUGCAAAAGAAGAAGCAUGUUGCACUUUGUAUAAGACCCAAGGAAAAGUUUGUAAUGAUGAGUUACAUGUUAUAAAGGGUACUUCCUUGGAGUUAUGGCAUAAAGGUUGGGGCAUAUGAGUAAGAAAGGAUUGCAAGUUUUGGUAAGGAAGUUCUUAAUUCCUUUGGCCAAAAAUGAAUCCUUAUCUUCUUGUGAUCAUUCUUUAAUUAGAAAACAACAUAGGGUUUCCUUUAGUAGCAGAUCUAACAAGUUAGAGAAGUUGGAAUUGGUAUACUCUAAUGUUUGUGGCCCAAUGGAUAUGGAAAAUCUUGGAGGAAACAGGUACUUUGUCACUUUCAUUGAUGAUGCUACCAAGAAGGUAUGGAUUUAUUUGCUCAGAUCAAAGGAUCAAGUCUUUCAGUAUUUUCUACAAUUUCAUACCAUGGUUAAGAGAGAAACUGGAAGAAAAUUGAAGUGUCUCAGGUCUAAUAAUGGAGGUGAGUACACCUCAAGGGAGUUUGAAACUUAUUGCACUAAGAAUGGUAUAAGGCAUGAGAAAAAAGUUUAUGGCACUCCAUGGUAUAAUGGUGUGGCUGAAAUGAUGAAUUGCACCAUCAUUGAGAGAGUUAGGUGUAUGUUGAAUACUGCAAAGUUGCCUAAGGUGUUUUAGGGUGAAGCUACUCAAACUGCCUGCUAUUUGAUAAACAAAUCUUUAUCAGGUCCAUUGAACUUUGAGGUUCCAAUGAAGGCAUGGACAGGAGAAGAUGUUACCUAUUCCCACUUGAGGGUCUUUGGAUAUAAAAGUUUUGUGCAUGUUCCUAAAGAACAAAGAUCUAAACUUGAUGAUAAGGCAAUUCCACAUGUCUUUGUUAGGUAUGGUGAUGAAGAGUUUGGAUUCAAAUUAUGGGAUCCAACUAAGAAGAAAUUGGUGAGAAAUAGAGAUGUGGUCUUCCAAGAGGAUCAAACCUUAGGAGAUUUUGACAAAGCCAAUCAAUUGAAAGGUACAAGUGAUGACUUCAUUGAGUUGGUACCUAUUCCCCAAUCAUUAGAGCAGCCUAGAAAUGAACAGGAGGAAAUUGAUGAGCUACCAAGAGAUGAUAGUGCAAAUGACAUACCUGCACAAGAGCUAAUUCAACACAAGGAGUAGGAGGAUUUGAUACCCCAAGUUAGGAUGUCUACUAAAGAGCAUCGUCCCUUUACUAUAUAUCCCUCUUCUGAGUACAUGUUAGAUGAGAGGGAGCCACAAAGUUUUCACUAAUCUAUGCAAGAUGAGAUGGAUUCCUUGUAGAAAAAUGAAAAUUAUGAGUUAAUACAACUUCCUAAAGGAAGAAAAUCAUUGAAAAACAAAUGGAUAUUCAAGUGGUUAAGAGAUAUGGUUGAAGAAAAUGCAGCUAAGUUGAAGAAGAUUCACUUAAACAUGUUGACAAAGGUUGUUCCCAAACAGAAGCUUCAGUUGUGCAUUGGAACAAGAGGUUUGAACUCUAUGUGAUGGAGUUAUAGAUUGGCACUCUCCUCUCAUAUGCUGGAGGGGGAGAUUGUUAGGCUAUGUUUAUCCAACCCAUGAGCUCAUAUAUUAGGCCAUUUUAUAUUUUGGUUUUCCCUAAGCCCAAAUAUGGAUAUAUAAAUAGCAUUAGGGCUUUGGUAUUAAGAGAAAAAGGCAUUUGAUUGAGAAAAUGAAAGAAAAGAUUAGGGUUUGUUUUUAUGGGCACUGUUCUAAGACUCAAGGGUGAAGUCACAGGUUCCUUUCAUCAACCUUUUUGGGGAAUUCCUAUGGUAUGUUUUCUUCCUGAUUUCUUUCUGUUCAUGUUUCCUGGGGUGAUGGAUUCCCACCUCAAGUGAGGACUUAAUUAUUGUACCCCCAUUUAUUGAAGUGCAAGAAAUUUUCUCUAUGGUUUUUUACCUCUAUUUAGACGGUUUUUCCAUGUUAUAUUUGGUGUCCUCUUUUGUGGUUAAAUUUUCUUGAUUGUCAUUCUUGAUUCUUGUUAAGUUGUUAUUAUUCUUGAGAAGUGGUUAUUAUUGUUGAGUGGUUGUUAUUCCUGUGGAGGAAUCUUUUAACCUUGGUAGGUUAAUACUCUAAAUCUCUCCCUUUAUCUUCCCAACAAAAGUGUGUGUUUUUAAAGUUUAUUAAUAAAUUUGACCUCCUUUUCCCAUGAAUGUAGGCGAUUAUAAUGAACCCCAUAAAUCUUUUGUCUUCCGUAAUUUAUUUUGAAACCUAUAAAUGGAGGAGAUGAAAGACAAUAUGUUUCAAGGAGAAUUGAUAGUGCUUUCAUGAAUAUUCUAUCUCAAUAUGAGGGGAAACAUUGUCAACUCCUUUUUUGUUGAAAGUUUCUCAUUUACUUCUUUUUAGGUAAACAACUUAAUCUUGGCUUGUUCUUACUUCAUGUGUCAACGACAAUUAUCAUGAACAUAAUAUGACUUAGUUGCAACAAAUGUCCAGGAAAAUUUGGGAGGAUAAAAAACCAACGCACUUGAGAAAGCAACCAUUUAUAAUAGCCAUAGUAUUGAAAACUUAUCAAUUAUAGCUAUCAAAUGUUUUUAUCCCACACCCUCAACAAAAAGCACCGCUAUACAAUUUUAGAAAAAGAGCGAUAACAAACCAAUGGUAUGUUUGAAAAUAGUAAAACAAUUUCCUAUUUUUAAGAGGAAAACAAUAAGUAAACAACAUCUAGCAACAAAAAAAUAGAAAAUAGUUUUCUAUUUUUAAAAAUAUAAAAUAACAUGUUUUCUGAUAACAUAUUUUAGUUGUUUUCAUUUGUUUUCUAAUGGUUAUUUUAAAAAAAACAAAUAUUUAAAUAUGAAGAAUAAUUAAAAAUAAAGCACUACAAAUAAAAGUUAUUUUCAAAAAAGUUAUGUGAUAGCUCACAUCAAAUAGGAGAAAGACAUUAUACACAUAUGAAUUCUUCUUAAUCAUGCAUGUAGAUGUGUUUUAAAGUCAUAAAGGUUCUUUUGACCUACAAUGGACAAUAUCUACAUGGCUGAGAUUAGAUUGUAAGUCAAUCCCUGACCUUAGUGUGAGUUUGUUUAGCCCUACAAGAAAUGUUUGUUUGUUUGUUUGACCCCACAUGACCCUGAAAUGCUAUGAGACAUAAUGUGGACGUUGUGUCUUCAUGGAGGUCAAUUAUGAUAUCUCACAAUUAGAUGGAACAAAAAUUUCUUAACACUAAAUAUGUAUGAACUACUCUUAACUAUAUAGAUGUGUUUUUGAGUCAUGAAGGCCAGAGCAAAAAAUAUCUACAUAAUUAGGAAUUUUCUAUAUAUUAAAUCAUAGAACUCAAAUAAACUUUUGUGCAAUAAAACAUCAAAUAACACUUUUCAAAAACAGUUCUCAAAAUCUAUUUUGAAAAUACUUUCUAAACAGAACCCAAAUUUUUAGUUGAAAAAGAAGUUAAGAGCACGAAACAUUACCAUAUAAGACUUAAAGGAGGUUUUCGAAGUUCAAACGAAUUUCAAACUACUAUAUUUUGUGUAACAAAUAACUAUUGCUUCCUCUUAUGUCACAAAUCUUAAUUAGCUAUGUUUAACAAGCAUUAGGUAGAUCUAUUCAUUGAAAUGUCGCUUUUCUUUGUCUUUUUUUUUCAUAUUUUAUAUUGAAAAUAAAGACCUUUGAAAGGCUAUUGUUUUCUAUAUAGCAAGAAACACAGAAAGAUAAUAUUGGUACUCCAAAAACAUUGAGCCUUAUUUCAGUCUUAGAAACUAUGACAGGAGGAAAAAAAAAAAAAGAAACCACUAAGGGGAAAAGAAAAGGAAGAAUAAAUUUCAAUCAACCAUAUUGAGCAGAAAUGGACUAGUAAUUAAAUGAAUAAAUGUAUUCACAAGCGUAAAUCAUGUGGAGAAUAACUCAAAUUAAGGCGUUUCCUAGGCCAUACAUGCGCCAUGUAUGGUAAAGCAUCAACUACCAGCAAAGAUGAUUUCCAACUUAUUCAUUUAUUCUCAAUUUGUCUUAGUGUAAAAACCUUCAGAAGGGUACGUACGUACCACAUGUGAAUAAUAAUCAAAAUUACAAAAUACGUACAAUUGCCAGUAUGUUCUUCAUUAUGUAAACAAACGCACAAACUUUAUCACAAGAAUGACAAGAUACACGACCUAAUGAAAAGAAUUUCUGAUUUUGGGGGCUCCCAUGGUGGAGCUUUAUCUAUAUAUAUGUUCACUGUCCAGUAGCCAUGACGAACGGAGGGGGAGGCUUGGCAUGGCCUGCAAACUUCAUACCGUUAUGGCAAGGUGGGGCGCCCUUUUCCGGGAUAUGGCUGCAUGAACUGCUUCCAGAGGGAGGCACAGGACCUGAACUCAGAGAUUGCAAAGGAACAAAUCUUAUCUUGAUCCACUCUUCUUUCUCUCCAUCAAGAACCCUACCAGCACUGUGUGGUUGGACGCUCAGAACAAGGACAAGUGCCGUGACAGCUAAAGCAAUGUUGAGAAACCUCAUGAUCGAUCUUUGGCGGGUUAAGCAAAGAGGAGAUGAUCAAAGCAAUAUUUUUAGAUGGACAAAUUAAUAUGCAUAUAUGAUAUAUGGAAGAGAACGACCAUCUCGGUUAUUUAUAUGCUCCCAAUGGUAUGACUGGAGUUUUUGGUAGUUUGGCUUGUUUGAAGGGUUUCUUUGACUGUUGACUUACUAAUAGUGUUUUGCUUUGGGAGAUUGAAAAUUGAAGUGGUCUUAAAGAAGAAACUACGUCUGAAAAUACUUGAUUACUGUACACAUGAGCAUGCAUCUUAUGACCUUUUUGAACACCAAAAAUUAUGUGAGAAGGAAAAUGAUUUUAAUGUUAAGUUGGAGAGUUGCCUUGGUUGUCCUUAAUCAUCAUUCCCUCCCUAUUGAAUUAGGUUCACAUACUAGUUGGUAAAAGCCAUUUAAUAAAAAAAUUAAGAAAUAUUUACAAACUAGGUUAGCGUUAAAUAAGAUCGAGUACACUAUUUGAUCUAGGCAUUUUGGAGGUUCUUUCUUACAACUUGAACUUCCUUAAGGGGGCAUUAAUUUUGAAAAAUGAAUGAAGUUAUGGAUGAAGUGUCUUCACUUAAACGGGAGCUUAAGGCUAUAUUUGGUUCUCAAAAAUUUUAAGGGAAAAUGCGAGGGAAAUAAAAUAGAAGUAAUAGAAGUAAAAAUAAAAUAAAAUGAAAAAUAAUUUUAAAAUUAAUAAAUUAUAUUUUGUACUUGCAUUGUUUCAAAUUUUUUUACUUAUUUUAAUAUUAAAUAAUUUUAAAAUAUAUAAAUUUCUAGCCAAUUUCAAUUAUAUUUUAUUCUCUUUCACAUUUUCCAUAUGAAAAAAACCAAACACGAUAAAAUCAUUUUCCUUAUCAUUUUCUUUCUUUCCUUAGACAAUUUUGAAUUUCUCAAAAUUCUAAGAUUUUUUUAAAAGAUAUUAGACUCUUAAAUUCUUUAAAAUAACUCUUUAAAAAAUUAACCAUCUAAGUCUCAUUUGAUCCUUUGGACCAUAAUAUCCUAGUACAAAAAUUUCAAAAAGAUUGAUUGAAAAUAGAGAGCAGCUUAGGUACUUUUGAACCACUCGUGUUGCUUAAAGUUCUGGGAUGUUUUGGCUAGAUUUUGACCCCUUGUUAAUUUGAUAUGUUAGUAAACUGAAAAUAGAACCAAAGAGUAAAAUUCCACUCCAUUCUGAAUUUGUUUGCAUUAGAAAAGAAUUUCUAAAAUAUCAAUGGGUUUUCAAUACUAUGUGCUAAGAUAGUUUUAGAUUCCCAGAAUUUGUGUAUAUUAUUUGGGUCUCUUAUGAGUUUAUAAAUUAUUUUUUAAUUUUAUAGACUUAUUGUAGAAUAAAUCUUGAGAGUUUUGUAAUUUUUGAAACUCAUUUGGCUAAUGAAAAAACCGAGAAAAUGAGUAGCAUUGUAGAAUACUUUGUUUUUAGCAAAUCUAGAACCAAUUUAGGUUGAAGAUUGAUUGAUGAUCUUUCGCUGACCAUUUGACUUGGUUAUUAAUCUUCAAGGUAUUUAAAUUCAUCAAACAUAUUCAUUGACUUGAGUUCCACUUGAAUUGAACUUUGUUUGCCUAGAUUUGUUUUUAAAAAAAACUUUGUAUCUUUUCAUCUAGGGUGUUGUUUGGGUGAAAAUAGGCUUGCAAGACCUUAGAAUCCUAGUUUCCCGUUUUUAUAAAAUUAUCAAAUAUCUUUAAAUUUUCUUUUUUAGAGGAAAACUUAGAUUUUGAGGAAGCAUCAUAUUGUAAAAAAUAUUAACUUUUUAGUAUAGAUGUUUUUGUGAGUAGUUUGAUACAUAUGAUUUUAUUAAAUUUUUCAGAAAGUAAAUAUCUAUAAUUGCUUAGUUUUAUUAACAUAUGUUCUAUAUUGCUUGCUUAGUUUACUAAUAGCAUAAAAUAUAUGUUGAAUUUCUAUUUCGUGAAGUGCAUUGAUUAUUGAGUUUGCAAAAAUAAAUGUUGCUUUGUCUUUAAGUAAUUAUUUAAUGACUUAUGUGUAUUGACAAUUCACGAAAUUACAAAUUGUGUUAUGAUUUAAAUAAAAUAUAGAAACAUUUGGGCAUUUAUAACUAAGGGGCAUCAGAACAUGCACAUCCACGAAGUAUUUCAUGCAAUUUUGUUUUGGAACUCUCCACCAAUUGUGUAGUAAGAGGAAAAUCAUAAGACAGGGUUAUGUGUUCUAAUGUCAGUAUAGGUGGUAGAGUUCACAAAGUAUACCCUUUUGUACCCUUUAAUGAGAUAACCAGACAAUGAGUUUUGUGGUAUUAUGAUCAAGGAUAGUAAAACCCUAAAGAGCACGUAGAUAUGCGGUAACCAUAAAGAUAAUAGGCUUGUGUAUAGUUAAUGGAUUGACCAUAAAUAUGUCUAGACUUAUGAUUUUAUUAUUUAUAUCUUACAUGUUCUUUAAAUGUUAUUAUCAUUACAUUAUGCUAGUUUUUGUACAUCAUAACUAUCUACUAAAUCGUCUAUUCACUCCCAUAGAUUUUAAUGUUUUUCAAGUAAAGACUCUCAGUAUACUUAUCGAGGAUGUAGAAUUAGUUUCAGAGAGCAAGUCACUAAAUACCUAGCUUUGUGUCUUUUCUUAUUAAACUUGUGGGAUAUGUAGUCCAUUUCCUUUAUGUAUUUUAAUUUUAAUUUAGUUGUUUUCAACUAUAUGCCUCAUCUUGUCAACCUUUGUUUCCAUUAUUAAUUUAUUUUAUUGUUGUUGCUUUAUCAACAUUAUUUAGUUGUAUGUUUUUUGUUUUUUUUUUCAUACAAUAUAUUUAUCUACUGAGACAAUAAUUUCAUUUUAGAUUAUGAUACAAAGUGGGCUCAUUAUCUCUUAGUGGACCCUUUUUAGGCCGGUCCUUACAAAAUAAGUUCCUAAUGAUAUUCUUAUAUAUUAGUUUUCUUAUCCCUUCAUGAAUUACAUAGUAAUUUUCUCUUAUUGGUGUAGACAUGUUUUUAGGCUGUUUGAAUUUAGACCCAAGGAAAAUAAUAUUUACACUAAAAAAUGAGUUGUUCUGCUUCAUUGUCAAACUAAUAAAAAGACUACCAUGAAUAUAUAUACAUAUGAUCACAAAUAAUCAGCCUUACCAACAUAUUUUUAGUCUUUGAAUUAAAUACAUUUUAUCCCAUCAACCUUUUACAUGUUUUACUAGUUACCCUUCACAUUCAAAAUCCAACAAACAGCAAGCACACAUGAGUAUGUGCAUCAUUCAACUUGUUCUUUUUUAUUUCUAUAUAUAUAUCACAAAGUGUAAAAGUCCAUUAGGGUACAAAAUGUGAAUAGUGAAAAAGAAUACACAAAUGACAUACAACCAAUUUGUGUUAUUAUUAUUUUUUUCUUUAUUCAUUUAUCAGAAUGAAAAUAUAUAAAAACAAAAAAUGCAAGGCCUACAUAUUCAUUUUAUUCGUUAUGGUCUUAUAGAAGUCCUAAAAUACGUAGUUAUGUGCUCAGGACUCGUAAGAUGACCAUGCAUAGUGGAGCUUCAUUUACGUUCAGUAGCCAUGACAACCGGAGUGCUGGCAUGCGAACGUGCUCUAGGGGGAGGCAUGGCAUGACCCCCAAACUUCAUUCCAUUGGGACAAGGUAAGCCUUUUUCGGGGACACGGCUGCAUGAACUUAGUCCUGAAGGAGGGACAGGUCCUAAAAGCAUAGAUUUCAAAGGAACAAUCUUAUCUUCAUCCACUCUUCUUUCUCUCCAUCAAGAACCCUACUAGCACUGCCGGGUUGGACACUCAGAAUAAAAACAACUGCUGUGACAGCUAAAACAAUGUUGAGAAAUUUCAUGAUGAUCUUGGUUGGGUUAAGCAAACAGGAGAUGAUCAGGUAGAGCAAUAUUUUUAUGCGGGCAAUAUGAAGAUAUAUGGAGGAGAACGAUCACCGGUUAUUUAUAUUAAUGCUGCCAGUGGCAUGACUAGAGUUUUUGGUAGUUUGGCUUAGUUGAAGGGUUUUUUUUUUACUCUUGACUAAUAGAAUUUUACUGUAGGAGAUUAGAAAUUGAAUAGGUCAUAAAGGAAGAAAAUACCUAGAAUUACCCAAAUGACUAGUUUUCUUUUGUAGUUAAUUUAAUUCAACAUAUGAAUUUAUCUUAAACCAAUUAGAAAGAAAAUAUAUGAUAAUCUCUCCAAGAUUUUUUGAAAAUAGAUAUGAGAAAUUAAUCCAUUCCCAUUAACUUUAAUUAAUACUAAAGUACAUAAUUUGGCUUGGUUAAAUAUCAUUAGUUGUCAUUUCUGAGAAAAAUUCAGAUAAUUAUUGUUUUGGAGACCAGGUUCUACUAUAUAAUCACAUUUUUUUCACCAAAUUAAGCAAUAUUCGUAAAGCUUAUUUACAUUAUUGAUUUGUAAUUAACCUGUAUUGGACACUGAAGAAUCAAUUUAUAUGCUACAAGUACAAGUGAUAUUCACUAGCAUGUUCAGGAUACAUGGCCUUUUCUGUGCCAUAUUAAUUGCAUAAGGGGCUGCUAAAUCAUAUCUCAUAAAAAUUAAUCAUUUCCAAAUUGUUAGCAUUAAUCUAUAGCAAAGUUAAGUAUUAAUUCAAAAUUUUCUCAUCGUUGUAAAGAACUUAAUGGUAGAAAUAGGAGUAGAGAGACCAAUCUAGGUAGGUAUGGUCUAUGAAGACUUUUGUCUUAUAUAAUACGUACCAUUUACUUCAUUAUUUUAGAGGCAUUGAUUUUGAACAAAGAUAAAUUAAGUUGUGGUAGGAACACGUUUACUUGAAUUGGGGCUUGAAUGUUUGGGGCUUUUAGACGACAUACUUCUAGCAGAUUCAAGUCAUUGAACAUAACUCUACCAACACGCAUCAGCUUUUCCACCCUCAGGAGCCAUGAGACAAAGUCCAUUUCUAUGUAUAUAUGCACAUGUACCAACCCUCUUUAUUAUGACUCUACCCAUGUUGACAUAGUUUAACACGAGUUCAAAUUAGUAACUUAGGAUGAUAUUUAAGGCUUAAGCUAAAUUAUAUAUUUUGAUAAAUAUGGUUAAUAUGGUUAAUAUUAUCUGUCAUCCAACAACUUAAGGUUUUAAAUCAAAUGAGCAAUUUAACAAUUACACUAUCCUUAUUCCAUUAAUUGGAAGGCUCUUCGUAUCUUUUGCCCAAGAUAUCUAGGAAUUUUUAUUUUUUUUGCUUAAAUAAUAAUAUAAUUUAUAAAUAAAUAAUAUAUAUAUAUAUAUAACAGUAUUUUACAACGUAUUAAGAAAAAAUAUGAUAUUUUUCGAAGUCGGUCUUUUUUUAAAAAACAAUUUCACAAGCAUAAAUGGUUUUUAAGAAAAACAAUUUCUUGUUCAUAGAUAUCUUGUAUUUCAUCUCUUAUUUUCUUUCUUAUUUCAAGUAAGAUUGUUGUUUCAAAAUGGGAUUUUGACAUGAAUAUAGUACUCUUUUAUACCCUUAGGUGAGAUGACUAGGAGAUGAUCGAACUCUAUAGUAUUAUGAUCAAGGAUAGUGAGACCUAAAGAGCAUGUUGAUGAUACGUGGUGGCCAUGAAGGUAAUAGGCUUGUGUAUAGCUGAUGGAUUGACCAUAAAUAUGUCCAAAUCUAUUAUUUUAUUAUUUAUAUCUCAUACAUUUUUUAAACGUUAUUAUCAUUAUGUUAUGCUAGUUUUGGUACAUCAAAAUUACUCCAUAUAUAAUAUAUUUUAAGACUAUUUUUACCUUGUAUUAAUUAUCAUAACACAAGUGCAGCAUAAUUAUCCACUAAACCAUUCAUUCACCUAAUAGAUUUUAAUGGUUUUUUAGGUAAGGACUCUCGUAUGCCUAUUCAUGAGGUAGAAUCAGCUUCAAAGAACAAAUCACUACGUACCUAGAUUUGUGUUUUUCUUUAUUAGACCUAUCGGAUGCGUAAUCUAUUUCCUUAAUGUAUUUUAGUUGUUUUCAGUUGUAUGUCAUCUUGUCAACCUUUCCUUCCGCUAUUAAUUUAUUUUAUUAUUGUUGUUUUACCAAAAUCAUUAACUUGUGUGUAGUUUUUAUACUAAAUGUUUAUCUGUUGAGACAAUGAUUUCUUUUUAGAUUUUGAUGCAAAAUGGACUCACCGUCUCUUAGUGGGCCCUUUUUGGGUGGGUGUUUACAGAUCAAGUUUCUGAUAAUAUCAUUAUGUAGCAGUUUUCUCUUUACUAAUUACAAAGCAAUUUUCUCUUAAUGAUGUAGACAUGGUUUUAGGCUAUGGUUACACCUAAAGAAAAUAAUAUUUAUACUAAAAAAUAAGUUGUUCUGUUCUAUUAUCAAACUAAUGAAAAAGCUACCCUGAAUAUAUCCAUAUUAUCACAAAUAAUUACCCUUGCAUAUACUUCAGUUUUUUUCCUCUUCUCUAGCAUAUAAGUGCCGUAAACUUGGAUGCAUGAGCAAAGUUUGACAAAACACGCGGAUGAAUGCCGAACAAAGAUGAUGAAAAUGGAAGUACUGCUACAACCAGCAAUCAUAUAUGAGCAUAUGCAUCAUUCAACUUGUUCUUUUUUAUUUCUAUAUAUAUCACAAAGUGUAGAAGUCCACCAGGGUACAAACUGUGAAUGGAGAAAAAGAAUACACGAAUGACAUACAACCAAUUUGUGUUAUUAUUAUUUUUUCUAUGAGAAGGAAAAUAUAUCAAACAAAAGAACAAAAACAACAAAUGCAAGGCCUACAUAUUCAGUUUAUUCCUUGUGGUCCCAUAAAAGUCAUAAAAUACGUAGUUAUGUGCUCAGGACUCGUACGAUUUUCUGAUGUUGAGUGAUGACUAUUUAUGGUGGAGGCUAGAGCUUCAUUUAUGUUCGGUAGCCAUGACAACAGGAGUGCUGGCAUGCGAACGUGCUCUAGGGGGAGGAAUGGCAUUACCCGCAAACUUCAUUCCAUUGGGACAAGGUGAGCCUUUUUCAGGGAUAUGGCCGCAUGAACUUGGUCCUGAAGGAGGGACAGGUCCUGAUAGAAUAGAUUUCAAAGGAACAAUCCUUAUCUUCAUCCACUCUUCUUUCUCUCCAUCAAGAACCCUACUAGCACUGUGGGGUUGGACACUCAGAAUAAAAACCACUGCUGUGACAGCUAAAACAAUUUUGACAAAUCUCAUGAUGAUCUUGGUUGGGUUAAGCAAACAGGAGAUGAUCAGAUAGAGCAAUAUUUUUAUGUGGGCAAUAUGAAGAUAUAUGGAGGAGAACGAUCACCGGUUAUUUAUAUGAAUGCUGCGAGUGGCAUGACUAGAGUUUUUGGUAGUUUGGCUUAGUUGAAGGGUUUUUUUGACUCUUGACUAAUAGAAUUUUACUGUAGGAGAUUAGAAAUUGAAUAGGUCAUAAAGGAAGAAAAUACCUAGAAUUUACCCAAAUGGUUAGUUUUCUUGUGUAGUUAAUUUAAUUCCACAUAUGCGUGCAUCUUAAAUCAAUUACCAAGAAAAUAUAUGAUACUCUCUCCAAGCUUUUUCGAAAAUAGAUAUGAGAAAUUAAUCCAUGUCCAUUAGCUUUAGUUAAUAGUAAAGUAUGUAAUUUGGCUUGAUUAAAUAUCCUUAUUUUCACGAGAAAGUUAGAUAAUUAUCGUUUUGGAGACCGGGUUCUACUAUAUAAUCACAUUUUUUUUUCACCAAAUUAAGCAAUAUUCGUAAAGCUUAUUUACAUUAUUGAUUUGUAAUUAACCUGUAUUGGACACUGAAGAAUCAAUUUAUGUGCUACAAGUACAAGUGAUAUUCCCUAUCAUGUUCAGGAUACAUGGCCUUUUCUGUGCCAUAUUAAUUGCAUAAGGGGCUGCUAAAUCAUAUCUCAUAAAAAUUAAUCAUUUCCAAAUUGUUAGCACUAAUCUAUAGCAAAGUUAAGUAUUAAUUCAAAAUUUUCUCACGGUUGUAGAGCACUUAAAUAAGAGUAGAGAGACCAAUCUAGGUAGGUAUGGUCUAUGAAGACUUUUGUCAUAUAUGAUACGUACCAUUUACUUCAUUAUUUUAGAGGCAUUGAUUUUGAACAAAGAUAAAUUAUAUUGUGGUAGGAACACGUUUACUUGAAUUGGGGCUUGAAUGUUUGGGGCUUUUAGACGGCAUACUUCCAGCAGAUUUAAGUCAUUGAACAUUACUAACACGCAUCAGCUUUUCCACCCUCAGGAACCAUGAGACAAAAUCACACAAUUUCAACAAACACACAAGCCCAAUUUCAACAAUAAUCACUAUUAAAAUCAAAGGGAAAAAACUUACACAAUUUCAAAUUUUAGAAGGAUAAAAAAAUGAGAGAAAGUUGAUGAAAUGGAAGAAUGGGAGAGGAAAGGAGGGAGUUGUCGGUUGGCAGUGGCUAACCAGCGGCGGGAGGGAUGAUGGGUUUUUUUUUUUGGAAAUAAAAAAAAUAAAAUGAAAAAAGAAAUGGAAGGAAGGAAAUGAGGGGUGCAUGUGGCAGUGAAAAAAAUUGGGGGCCAGCCACUACCUUGUGUGGGAGCUGGGGAGGGAAAAAAAAACAAAAAACUCUAGAGGGGAGAUGGGAGGAGAGAGAAUGGGGAGUAGGUGGAGUGGUUGGGGAAUAAUAGGAAGAGAAAGGAGAGAGGAGAGAAAAAAGAAAGAAAAUGAAGAAAAGAAAUAGAAAUAAAAUAAUAAUAAUAGUAAAUAAUAAUAAAAUAAAAUAAUAAAAACUAAUAAUUAGAUGGUGAGUUAGCAAAAAAUAUAAAAUAUAAUCGAAAUUUAAAAACUAAAAAUAAAAUUGGGUUAAAAAUUAAUGUAAAGAUAAAAUUGGAACAAAUUUUGGGAUCUACAGCUCUUCGUAUAUAUCCUCUAUCCAAGAUAUCUAGGAUUUUUUUUAAAUAAUAAUAUAAUUUUAAAAUAUAUAUAUAUAUUACAAAAAUAUAAUAUUUUUGAAAGUUGUCUUUUUAAAAAAUGAUUUCACAUUCACAAAUUGUCUUUAUAAAAAAUAAAAACAAGUUUUUGUUAAUAGCUAUCUUGUAUUUCAUCUUUUAUUUUCUUUCUUAUUUCAAGUAAGAUCAUUGUUUCAAAAUGCGAUUUUGACAUGAAUAUACUCUUUUAUACCCUUAGAUGAGCUCUAUGGUAUUACAAUCAAGGAUAGUGAGACCUUGAAGAGCAUGUUGAUAUGUGGUGGCCAUGAUGGUAAUAGGUUUGUGUAUAGCUAAUGGAUUGACUAUAAAUAUCUCCAAAUCUAUUAUUUUAUUAUUAUAUGUCAUACUUUUUUAAAAUGUCAUUAUCAUUAUGUUAUGCUAGUUUUUGUACAUCAAAAUUAUUCCAUAUAUACUAUAUUUUUAAACUGUUUUUACUUUGUAUUAAUUAUAUCCUAACACUUGUGCAUCAUAAUUAUACGCUAAACCAUUUGUUCACCUAAUAGAUUUUAAUGUUUUUUAGGUAAGGACUCUCGUGCGUAUGCCUAUUGAGGAGGUAGAAUUAGCUUCAAAGAACAAGUCACUAAGUACCUAGACUUGCGUUUUUCCUUAUUAGACCUGUAGGAUAUGUAGUCCAUUUCCUUCAUGUAUUUUAGAUGUUUUCUUUAAUUUGUAUGUCUCAUCUUCUCAAUCUUUGCUUCCACUAUUAAUUUAUUUUGUUGUUAUUGUUUUAUCAAAAUCAUUUAGUUGUAUGUAUUUUUCUUAUACUAAAUAUUUAUAUGUUGAAACAAUGAUUUCUUUUUAGAUUUUGAUGCAAAAUGGACUCACAGUCUCUUAGUGGGCCCUUUUUGGGUGGGUCUUUACAAAUUAAGUUUCUAAUAAUAUUAUUAAUAACAGUUUUCUCUUCACAAAUUACUUAGUAAUUUUCUCUUAAUGAUGUAGACAUGGUCUUCCCCUAUGCAAAUUUAGAUCCAAAGCAAAUAGUAUUUAUACUUAAAAAAUAAGUUGGUUUGCUUUGUUAUCAAACUAAUAAAAAGGCUACCACAUGAAUAUAUUCAUAUUAUCACAAAUAUUAGCCUUGCCAAUAUAUUUGAGUUUUUUUCCUCUUUUCCAGCAUAUAAGUGCCAUAAACUUGGAUGCAUGAGCAAAGUUUGGUAAAACACACGGAUGAAUGCCAAGCAAAGACGAUGAAGAUGGAAAUACAGCAACAACCAGCAAGCAUAUAUGCGUAUAUGCAUCAUUCAACUAGUUCCUUUUUAUUUCCAUAUAUAUCACAAAGUGUAAAAGUCCACCAGGGUACAAAAUGUGAAUAGAGAAAAAGAAUACAAUAAUGACAUACAAUUUUUUGUGUUAUUAUUAUUUUUCCUUAAUGUAUUUAUCAUGAUGACUGACUCAUGCCCAAUUGGUGUCUCAGCUGAUUUGUGUUCAGCUGGUGCUCCUUGAUUGAGGAAGUGAUCAACAAAAUUUAUACCUAUAACACCAUACACUAGGGUAGCAAAUACAAAGCUACUAUAGUAUAGUGGCUCUAGGAUCGUUCACUGGGAAUGAUGAACAAGCAAUCAAGGAUACCAAUUCCAAGUGAAUUGGUCUUGUUUCAUUUCACGGUUAGCUUAAGAAGUAAAACACAAAGUUUGAUUGGUAAAGGUUUAGACUUAAACUAACUAACUUAACAGAAGUUUGGAAUAAUUUAGGAAGAAAAGCAUUCCUUGGAGAUUUAGGUUCACUGGGGUGGUUCCUCAUGCAAAAGACAUAGCUCCGGUCAGAUGGUUCAUUUCCUCGCAUUAGAGAUUCAACUUAGAGUCAAUUCUCUAACCGGUGAUGUACAGAGACUCCUUCAAUUAGAUUUCACUUUAAUUCUCUCACUGAUGCAACUUGCAAUGGUUCAUGCCUCUCACGAGCACUUACCAUUCAAGGUGAUCUUUAACCUUGGAUUUCCCUUCACAAACUCGCAAGAGAUAACUAAUGGAUGUCUCCUAGGAGUCCAAAAGCUUACCAAGUGUUGGUAAUUCUAGAAAAUCCUACCCUGAAGUCACCUACCAGAGGCUCGCAAGGGGUAAACUAGUGCAUUUCCACGGUUGGAAAUCACUUGCCUUACCAAGUGUUGGCCUAGGUGACUCCAAAGUGUUUUAAGUUAACUAAAAACAUUGAAAUCACUAAAGGAUUUCACUUCCUUUUCAUUACUAGCUAAAACCACAAAGCUUUGCAUUCUUGCACUUGGAACCUUCCCCGGCAAUCUUAGCUCCAAGGAAUUGGAGGUUUAGUUACUCAUUCUCUGGGGAAAACUCCUCAGAGAAUUCAUAACUUAGAAAUAAAAUGAAAAUACAAAGUGAGAAGGUAAGGCAGUAGAAAGAAAAGACUUUACUUGCUUACCAAAUGGUUACAGAAGGAACUCCUCCCUGAGAACAGGCUCCCGAGAGGUAUAUAUAUCAAAACAAUAUAAAAUUAAUUGUUACCAAGAUAUUUGGUCUUUUUACUAACUUAAAAACUAAGGAAUCAUGUAAUUGGUGGUUUACAAGGAGUAUUUUGGGAUUUAGACAACAAAAAUCUAAUGGAAAAUAUCUCCCAAUGUCGGUAGCAAGCUUCGGGAGGCUUCAGGAGCCAUUUCGUAGGAGAAAAGUGGUGUCUGCGAAAUUUCGCAGACACCCAAGAGGGCUGCGAAAUUAUUUCGCAACACUGAGCUAUCUUCACCAGGCUGCAAAGUUGGCUUCCAUCUUGAGGUUUCCAGCUCCCUUCUCGCGGCAUGGUUCAUGCAUCGUCAGAAGGAGAAACAUCUUACUGUACAAAAGUGCUGCGAAAUUCUCGCAACAAAAGGCUGAUUCCGCAACACUUUAGAGUGACUGGCUUGUAAUGGCUGCAACUUCUUCGUUUCAACUCCGAAUCGCGCACCGUUUGAAGCAUUGGAUUGUUGACUUCCUAAGCUUUGAAAUGGUAUAUAGCUUGCAUCAUUUGGACUUCAGAAAGUGCUCCAAAAGUGGCUGCUACGACUGUCAUCAAGAAUAGGCUUUAUGGCAGAUUCUCUUUGCUUUUUCUCCUUGCAAUCCGGAUUCACUCUUGGCAAUUGAAUUCUAAGCUUUGCCCAAGAUUCCUCAUAGCUCUCCUCAUUCUUGACUUGCUUUGGUGAUCAAAAUACUAACAAAAACACCAAAACUUACACAAAGUGAUCAAAAUUGCUUUAAAGGAUCCUUAACAUGUCAAUUGAGUUAAAAGGCCUAAACUACUACUCAAAAGUGUUAAAAAGGAUUAAUUAAAGGCUAUCAAAUAGCACUUUUUGAGUAGUAAUCAAUGACUAUGUACAAAAACAACAAAUGCAGGGCCUACAUAUUAUGUACUCAGGACUCGUAAGAUUUUCUGAUGUUGGGUGAUGACUAUGCACAUUAGAGGCUGGAGCUUCAUUUAUGUUCAGUAGCCAUAACAACAGGAGUGCUGACAUGCGAACCUGCUCUAGGGGGAGGCAUGGCAUGACCCGCAAACUUCAUUCCAUCAGUACAAGGUGAGCCUUUUUCGGGGAUACGGCCGCAUGAACUUGGUCCUGAAGGAGGGACAGGUCCUGAAAGCAUAGAUUUCAAAGGAACAAUCCUUAUCUUCAUCCACUCUUCUUUCUCUCCAUCAGGAACCCUACUCGCACUGCCGGGUUGGACACUCAGAAUAAAAACCACUGCUGUGACAGCUAAAACAAUGUUUAGAAAUCUCAUGAUGAUUUUGGUUGGGUUAAGCAAACAUGAGAUGAUCAGAUAGAACAAUAUUUUUAUGUGGGCAAUAUGCAUAUUGACGGAGGAGAACAAUCACCGGUUAUUUAUACGAAUGCAGCCAGGCAUGACUAGAGUUCUUGCUAGUUUGGCUUAGUUGAAGGGGUUUUUUUUUACUCUUAGACUAAGGUGGUAUUUGUUUUUUGGCCGAAUAAAAAAAAUCAAAAUAUUUAGUUUUUUCUAUUCAACUAAAAAUAAAAUGUUAACAUCAUUUAACAUAACUAAAUUAAACCUAUUGAUAACAAGUUCAUUUUAAUUAUAUUGAAUGAUGUCAACAGAUUACUUUUAACUGAAUAGAAAAAAUCAAAUAUUUUAAUUUUUUCUAUUCAGCCAAAAAACAAACACCACCUAAUAGAAUUUAAUUUACUCUAAGAGAUUAGAAAUUGAAUAGGUCAUAAAGGAAGAAAAUACCUAGAAUUACCCAAAUGACUAGUUUUCUUGUGUAGUUAAUUUAAUUCCACAUAUGAGUGCAUCUUAAAUCAAUUACAAAGAAAAUAUAUGAUAAUAUGAAUGCAUCUUAAAUCAAUUAGAAAGAAAAUAUAUGAUAAUUUCUCCAAGCUUUUUUGAAAAUAGAUACGAGAAAUUUAUCCAUUCCCAUUAACUUUAAUUAAUAUUAAAAUAUGUAAUUUAGCUUGGUUAAAUAUCAUUAGUUAUCAUUUCCGAGAAAAAGUUAGAUAAUUAUCAUUUUGGAGAGGAGGUUCCAUUGUAUAAUUACAUUUUUCUUCACCAACUUAAGCAUAAAUGGCUUUCCUGUACCAUAUGAAUUGCAGGAGGGGCUGCUAAAACUUAUUUCAUCAAAAAUCAUUGCCGAAUUGUUAGCGUUAAUCUAUAGCAAAAUUAAGUAUUAAUUCAAAAUUUUCUCACAGUUGUAAAGCACUCAAUGGUAGAAAUAAGGGUAGAGACAAAUCUAGGUAGGUAUGGUCUAUGAUGACUUUUGUCUUAUAUGAUACGUACCAUUGACUUUUGCCUUAUAAAUCAAGUUGUGGUAGGAACACGUUUGCUUGACUUGCGGCAUGAAUGUUUGGGGCUUUUAGACGAUAUAAUUCUAUCAGAUUCAAGUCGUUGAACAUAACUCUACUAACACGCAUCAGCUUUUCCACCGUCCAUGUUGACAUAGUUUAACGCACAUGUACCAACCCUCUUUAUCGUGACUUUACCCAUGUUGACAUAGUUUAACGCAUGCUCAAAUUAGUAACUUAGGAUGAAAUUUAAGGCUUAAAGCUAUAUUACCUUGAUAAAUAUGGUUAAUAUGGUUAAUUUGACCCAUUAUCCAACCGACUUGAGUUUUUAAAUCAAAACGGUAAUUUAACAAUUACACUAUUCGUGUACCAUUAAUUGGAAGGCUCUUCAAAUCCCCUUCAUAAAAUCGAGAAAUUAGUGAUUUAUCAAGAUUUUACAAAAAAAAUAAUAAUAAUCUAAUAUUUUUUUAAAAAAAUAUAAUAAUUGAAAAAUUAUUUUCAAAUCUAUAAUAAAAAAUUAUCUUUUGAAAAAACAAUUACAAAUUUUGAAAUUAUCUUCUAAAAAUAUAUUUUUAAAUAAAUAACUUAAUUUAGUCAUAAACAUAUGAGGUUGUGAAACCAAUCAUAUUGAUUUAAUUAAAACCCAGUUAUUAAAUAAAUUGUUAGAUGUAUUACCGAUUUAAUAAUUAUAUCAUAUUUUGAUCCAUAUUUUUAACUUGUGUGAUGUUAUCCAUGCUUUUAACUCGAUUUUCAUUGGUGUCAUGUUUAGAUUAACUUAUUCAAUAGAAUGCUUGAAUUUUGAAAUUAAUAACAUGAAUGUAUCCCAUCAGCACAAAUUACAUAUAUUAGACAAUUGUUUUUAUUACGAUGUUACCAUAAAUCAUAUAUAAUUCACAAAGUUUUGAAACUUCAAUCCAUUCUUCAUAUAUAUAUAUAUAUAUAUAUAUAUAUAUAUAAUAUAACUUUAUAUUCUUAAAAUGAUCAGGUUUAGGUUUUUUUUUUUCAUUUUUUUCCAAAUUAAUAUUUUAUUUUAAGUAAAUUUCUUUUUCCUUUACAAUUUCCUUUUCUAACUUCUUAUAUCUCAAACUACUAUAUUAUUUUUAGUCACCAAUGAACUAAAUUCCUUCUUUUACAAGUUUCUUUUUCACUUCUUUUUAUGUAUUAAUUUUGUGAAAUCAAGGUUUGGCUAAUCUCGAUUUUGAUGAUAACAUAACAAAAUUUAGAACUAAUUAUUAUAUUUCAAGUGUAAUUAGGCAAAAUGAUUUACAAAGUGACAAUCACAAAGACGAAUCAAAUCAAAGAAAAAUAAUGAAGAAAAAAAGACAUCAAAGAGAGGUAUUUUUCAAGACCCAAGCUUCAUAAGAUCUCUUUGUAAAGUUGUUGAUGCACUAGCAUUUUCAAACAUUACAUUCUUUACUUAUGCACCAAAAUCAUCCAAGAGUUAUUUUAUUUUAAAUUUUUAAAAAUUUGAUGAUUUCAUGUUUUCAAUUAAAAUCUUGUGUCAAAUGUUUUCCAAACUUGUUUAAAAUGUUUUAAGUUGAAAAAGUUAGUUGUUGAGCCAAAAACGGCUCAACUAGUUGAACCGGAUGAUUAGUGCACCAUUCAAUCCUAAAUUUCUUGUAUCAUUUGAGUUUAAAGUUUUGUAUUAGGAUUUAAUGAAAUCAUUUAUAAAUCUUUGAGAAGAAAAGUCUAAGUGUAAAGUAUCACUUAGGGAUUCUCAAGUGAGGAGUAUCACUUGAGGGGUUGUUCAAGAUAGGGGUAUCUCUUGAGAAGUGUAAAGAGUGUUUGAAGCCAAAAGUCCAAGAUGGUGGAUUAGAACCAUAAUCCAAUUGUAUUGCUUGAAGGAUUAGUUUGAAAACUUUCAAAUAGUGGAACCUCAAGCUUGAUAUUGAAGCUAAAAGAGAGUGGAUGUAGGUCAGGAUACAUCGAAUCACUAUAAAAUCUUGUAUUUGUAUUCUCUCUUCUCUGCUCUAUUAAUUUAUAUGAAGUUAUCUUUAUAUUGUUUUAUUAUAUACUUGCAUAUAAUUGUUUCUUACAUUCACAUAGUUUGAAUUUCAUCACUCUUUUCACCCCCCCUCCCCCCCGGGGUGAUUACCUUAGAUUGAAUUAGCCUAAUUUUUCUAACAAAUUUUAUCAUCCUCUAUCUUCAGCAAUCUAACUUAUCUAUAACAGAAGUAAAGAAAAAAUUAAUGAUUCGCACCAUCUCCAGCACUGAAUAUUAUUUGAAGAUUUUAUCAUAUUAUAUUUCAUAAAUCCUUGAGAAAAACAUUUGUUCUCCUUUGAAUAAAUGGUAGUAAAGAGACCAAAAUUUAAGUUGAAGACAAGAGAAUGAAUCAUUACUGACGAUAAGGUUUUCAAAGUUUUGGCAAAUGUCAAACCAUACGAUUUGAAUCUUGAUAACCAACCUCAAAGCUUAACGUUGAAGCAUUUGAAUUGGGUCUGAAUCAACUUUUCAACCUUAUAGAAGUAAAGUUUUCCAUAACAAUGGAAAACAGGGAAUGUUUGUUGUUGAACUAGAAGUCAAACCAGUACGCAUGAGAGCAGGUUCAUGGGAAGCUGCCCAAAAAUUAUGUACUCCAGAAGAAUUUUUGUUCCUCUUCCACACUGUUGAACCUCAUUUUCGGUCUUAUUAACUGUGGGGUAAUUGAAAUUGAUCAGAAAAAUAGGCGAGGGAAGGAAAAAUAAAUUUAAACCUUAAAUGACUCUCUCUCUCUCUCUCUCUCUCUCUCUCUCUCUCUCUCUAUCUAUCUAUCUAAUUAACGUGCAAGUAAAUACAUUAUGACUAUCCUGGACAAAUACAGGGAAAAUAAUUCAAAGGGUUGACUAACAGGGAAAAUAAUUCAAAGGGUUGACUCUCUCUCUCUCUCUAUAAUAUAGGAAUUAAUACAUUUUUUUUUCCACAAAACAUCUCUCAUAAUUUUUGAGAAAUAUAUUAAUGUACUAAUAUUUCUUCAUUUUAGUUCCUUCACUGUUAUUUUUUAUAUUCGAAGAGACUAUGAAAAGAAAAUUGUAUCCUCUCCUUCAGAUGCAAUGGCAAAUCUCAAAAUCUUCCUACAAAUUAAAUUGAAAAUUAAAUUUUUAUUAAUGACAUAUGAAGACUACGUAGUUCUUGUAAUAGCAAACUUGGGUAAUAACUCAAAUUGCCGGCAUGCGCCCUGAAUGUCAAAUUAAGAUGGUUGAUGAGGAUGGUAAAGCAGCAACUACCAGCAAAGAUGAUUUCCAACUUAUUCAUUUAUUCUCAAUUUGUCUUAGUGAAAAAACCUUCAGAAGGGUACGUACGUACCACAUGUGAACAAUAAUCAAAAUUACAAAAUACGUAAAAUUGCCAGUAUGUUCUUCAUUAUGUAAACAAACACACAAACUUUAUCACAAGAAUGACAACAUACACGACCCAAUGAAAAGAAUUUCUGAUUUUGGGGGCUCCCAUGGUCGAGCUUCUUCUAUAUAUAUGUUCACUGUCCAGUAGCCAUGACGAACGGAGGGGGAGGCUUGGCAUGGCCUGCAAACUUCAUUCCGUUAUGGCAAGGUGGGGCGCCCUUUUCCGGGAUAUGGCUGCAUGAACUGCUUCCAGAAGGAGGCACAGGACCUGAACUCAGAGAUUGUAAAGGAACAAAUCUUAUCUUGAUCCACUCUUCUUUCUCUCCAUCAAGAACCCUACCAGCACUGUGUGGUUGGACGCUCAGAACAAGAACAAGUGCGGUGACAGCUAAAGCAAUGUUGAGAAACCUCAUGAUCUUUGACGGGUUAAGCAAAGAGGAGAUGAUCAAAGCAAUAUUUUUGGAUGGACAAAUUAAUAUGC